rnacentral:rRNA from 1 species
AUUGAACGCUGGCGGCAGGCUUAACACAUGCAAGUCGAGCGGGGAAAGGUAGCUUGCUACCUGACCUAGCGGCGGACGGGUGAGUAAUGCUUAGGAAUCUGCCUAUUAGUGGGGGACAACAUCUCGAAAGGGAUGCUAAUACCGCAUACGUCCUACGGGAGAAAGCAGGGGACCUUCGGGCCUUGCGCUAAUAGAUGAGCCUAAGUCGGAUUAGCUAGUUGGUGGGGUAAAGGCCUACCAAGGCGACGAUCUGUAGCGGGUCUGAGAGGAUGAUCCGCCACACUGGGACUGAGACACGGCCCAGACUCCUACGGGAGGCAGCAGUGGGGAAUAUUGGACAAUGGGGGGAACCCUGAUCCAACCAUGCCGCGUGUGUGAAGAAGGCCUUUUGGUUGUAAAGCACUUUAAGCGAGGAGGAGGCUACCGAGAUUAAUACUCUUGGAUAGUGGACGUUACUCGCAGAAUAAGCACCGGCUAACUCU